AGAAGAAGAAGACUUUAACCUGACCCGGGAUGAUUUUGAUGAGCUGGACAGGCUCGAUAAUCAGACUCGAAAUCUGACCUCGACAGCCAGUGAAGUCCCAGGACCUUCAAACACAGGCCGUCAGAAUCUAACAAGAAAUAGGUCAAUUAUCACGGAUUCUCUACAAGAGUUAUCCUCUCUCCGUACCAGGGUUUUUCCUCCAAAUCGAGAAGACACUCCAGGGACUUCUGGUUCUGCAGUAAGAGCUCGCU